UGGCACCCCUGUGCACCCAUGAAAGGGCUCGGCGGAACACACCGGGUGUGGUCAGCCAGGUCUUGGGAUCUGGCAAGAUAGGAAGAAUUUCUAAGUCUUUGUAAACAGCUGGCCUGGGAUGAGUUAUAGUUGGUUCUUCUGGCAGACAAAGGUCUACUCCUGCCCCAUCCCUAUCCCUUUAGGGGAUUCCUGGAUGUUUGAGGAACCUGUGGGAUAAAUGUUCAUCAGAUCCUGGAAGCUUUCCCUGGGGCCUGAAGAGGUAGUGAUGGUGAAGCCGGUCCCUAACAAUGACAACAUAUGAGCUAAGCACAAGAAAUUCAAACUCCGCGGAUGGAUAAAUGGAAGAAGAGAAACAGAAAAAGUUACAACAAACCAACUAGAAACUGUUCUCAAAAUAAA
rnacentral:lncRNA from 1 species